CGUCUAUGAAAAGACGUGGAAAAGUGCAGGGUGGUAUCAUCAGCGUAGGAGUGGAUAGGACAAGAAGUUUGGUUUAGAAGAUCAUUAAUGAAUAAUAAGAAGAGAGUGGGUGACAGGACAGAACCCUGAGGAACACCACUGUUAAUAGAUUUAGGAGAAGAACAGUGACCGUCUACCACAGUAACAAUAGAACGGUCAGAAAGGAAACUUGAGAUGAAGUUACAGAGAGAAGGAUAGAAGCCGUAGGAGGGUAGUUUGGAAAAUCAAAGCUUUGUGCCAGACUCUACCAAAAGCUUUUGAUAUAUCCAAGGCAACAGCAAAAGUUUCACUAAAAUCUCUAAAAGAGGAUGACCAAGACUCAGUAAGGAAAGCCAGAAGAUCACCAGUAGAGCGGCCUUGACGGAACCCAUACUGGCGAUCAGAUAGAAGGUUGUGAAGUGAUAGAUGUUUAAGAAUCUUCCUGUUGAUGAUAGAUUCAAAAACUUUACAUAGGCAGGAAAUUAAAGCAAUAGGACGGUAGUUUGAGGGAUUAGAACGGUCACCCUUUUUAGGAACAGGUUGAAUGUAGGCAAACUUCCAGCAAGAAGGAAAGGUAGAUGUUGACAGACAGAGCUGAAAGAGUUUGACUAUGCAAGGUGCAAGCACGGAGGCACAGUUUCGGAGAACAAUAGGAGGGACCCCAUCAGGUCCAUAAGCCUUCCGAGGGUUUAGGUCAGCGAGGGCAUGGAAAACAUCAUUGCGAAGAAUUUUAAUAGGUGGCAUGAAGUAGUCAGAGGGUGGAGGAGAGGGAGGAACAAGCCCAGAAUCGUUCAAGGUAGAGUUUUUAUCAAAGGUUUGAGCAAAGAGUUCAGCUUUAGAAAUAGAUGUGAUAGCAGUGGUGCCAUCUGGUUGAAAUAGAGGAGGGGAAGAAGAAGAAGGAAAGUAUUGGAGAUAUUUUGGCUAGAUGCCAGAAGUCAUGAGGGGAGUUAGAUCUUAAAAAAAUUUGACACUUUCUGUUAAUGAAGGAGUUUUUGGCUAGUUGGAGAACAUACUUGGCAUGGUUCCGGGCAGAAAUAUAAAGUGCAUGAGAUUCUGGUGAUGGAAGGCUUAAGUACCUUUUGUGGGCCACCUCUCUAUCAUGUAUAGCACGAGAAUAAGCUGUGUUUAACCAAGGUUUAGAAGGUUUAGGACAAGAAAAUGAGUGAGGAAUGUAUGCCUCCAUGCCAGACACUAUCACUGUCUGUGCAUGAAGUAACAGUUUGUCAGCUAGAGUGUUUCCUCCCAGCAUCUCAGCACUGCCGCCAAUACCUGUCAUCUCUCCUCUAUUUUAUCUCAACUUCAUGAUGUAUGCAGCGCCAUCAGUUUGGAGAGAGCUGCCAAACUCUCUUACACACACACACACACACACACACACACAGAAGGAAGCAGAUAUGCGUGUGUGUGUGCGUGUGUGUGAGAGUGUGAGACCAGCUGUCAUUUUCUCUCCUUUGUAGUCGCACCAGUGACAGUGUGACGGGCAGAGUCGCUACUAGGCAGUAUGAGCUGAAGACAAAACACUACAGUUCCAGGGAGAUUUAUGUAAUUUUAAGUGUGAAAAAAAAAUACUUGCAUGCUACUUUGAUGAAAGUUGUGUGAAAUCCGUUAGUGAAGAUAUGCGUAUCGAUCUGUUUGGGGCUUCGUUCAAGGUUUCAUGGAUUGUUUCAUAUGAAAGUGAGGUUUUCCAAGUUUCCAGCGGCAGUUCCUGUUUGGCUGCCCUCCUGUACAGUGAGUGUCUCACUGGGGUAAGCUUAUACGUUCUCCACUGGAUCCGCUAAGGUAUUUGUGCCUACGAUUUCUUUAACAUUGCUGCAACAAGACAUCUCAUGUACGUAUGUGGCUAAAUAUUAAGAAGAGUCGUGCGGCCCUAUUUCCUAUUUUUUUGUGCUCUCACCCCUCACAAUGUUGGGUAGCUGGAGGGAAAGCGGGGUUUCGGGUGGAAAAAGCUAAAAUAGAGCCAAAUACCGCCUCUCACCACCAAAACUAAACAGGGAGCUGCACUACUGCUACUGCUGCUGGUGCUGCUCUAUUUCAUAUUUACCGGUUUAGUUAGGUUAGAUUAGGUAUAAUUAAGUUUAGUUAGAAUGGUAGCAGCAAGAGCAAGAACACAGCGGCCAUCACAACAACAUGAACAGCAACAGUAGUGCAGCUUCCUAUUUAUUUUUAGUGGUAAGAGGCGAUAAUUGGCUCUAUAUUACCUUUCCACACCCGAAAACCCCGCCUUCCCACCAGCUUCCCUUCACUGUAGGGGACACGAACCGAAAACCCCGCCUUCCCACCAGCUUCCCUUCACUGUAGGGGACACGAACCGAAAAAAAAAAAAAAAAUAGGAGAGAGGGCUGCACGAUUCUUCUUAAUAUUUCCCCGUAAUGGUAUAUACACACAUGCAUGUGAGAAUAUGAUAAGAAUUGUCUGCUGUAUGGAUCAUGUACACCUUCAGAAACUGACAACGGAGUUUUAAUACAGACCAGAACAAAAAUUAUAUGUUUUGAUAUGAGAGAGUGAUAUGAUCAGUGCGUAUGAAGUUAACACAAAAUAUGAUGUAAUCUUGAAUAUGUACGGGUGCCUUUAAUUUAUUAGGAAAAAAAUAUAUAUAUACCAUUCAGGAGAAAAUUCGUUUGUUUUAUAAUUGGGUAUUGUGUCAUGAAUCACGAUGUCUUGAGUACCUGACGGGAGUCGUGGUUGUUCGUAUUCGCCCGGGUUUCGGGACGGUCCUGUGUAUUGCCAUGUUUUUCUUGUUUUAUGCAUUUUUGUAUGUAUAUUUGUAGAUCAUAUUAUGAAUAUUUAUUUUUGUGUGCCUUUUGCAUAUUACUUAGGUGAGGCUUAGUAUAUAAUUAUAGGGAAGUGAGGUGUUAUCAAGUGCGUUCUGGGUGGCCAGUGGUGACGUGACCAGGGCUGUGUCAACACCAGGGUGGUGUUGGUUGUGUGGGGUGCACCUGGGCCCUGUGUUGGCCUUUGAAGGUGUUGCUUGAGUCUCGCCUUCGCACUCCGAGGACACUUUGAAUUCAUGGUGCUUUAGGUGCUCGUGGUCUUCGUCAGCCUUCGUGACCGUCCAUGCUCGUAACGUCUUCUUGUGCUCCUUGUUCGGCGCCUUGAAACAGAGGAAGAGAGAAUAAGAGGCUAAUUUUGUCCUCUUUAGGCUACAUUAUACUCGUACAAGUGACUGCAGUACAAACACAUCUAAAUAAUAUAUAGACAAAACCAUCCAGCAUUCAGUAGCCCCAUCGCGCUGGUCAGUAGAGGACCCGUGGCCACCAGACGCAGCGGAACCUUUCUGGGUCGUAACGUGAUGACCCGGGGGACGUAAAUAGUGCCGCCGAAGUCCCGAGUGGCUUCGAGACAAGGAAGAGAAGCCACGCGACUCACUUGAGCCAGUCAGUCAGUGGUCAGUGGCGUCAGCUUCGUUGUGGUGUACGUGUGAGUCUUCUGUGUUUUCUUGGACGCUUAUUUGGGCUCUAGGUGAACCAAAACUCUCCCAAAGCUUGUCCACAGUGGUCAGCAGGUAUGUUAACUUGGUAAUAAGUGUAUUUGGACAUAUACUGCUCGUAAAACUGGUGUGUCGUUCCUCGCUAGGCUAGUAGGAAGCAAGCGGUUGAGGAAUCACAGUUGUCAGACCAUUAAUAACUAACAUUUUCUUAAUUUUGCAUAUUUGUCAGUUUUUUUUGUAUUUCAUAUGACUAUCUAGGAUGUAAGUGUUUCCAGUGCGAUGAAUCUAAAGGAAUGGUGCUUGAAAUGGGAGGUUGUAAGGCUGAGGGACACGAAAAUAGACUUGAGUGUUGGCAGGAGGGUGCGGUACGUCUACUGUCUAGGCGUCUCUGCUCCCUCACCACGCAUCCCGCCGCCGUCACAACGUUCCCCGGUAUAUUACACUUGUUUCUUGAAUGUUUACCGUAAAGUCUGCAAUCAGGAAUCAUCGCAAACAUUAACCAUUGUUGUCUUUUCUGAUCACCAGCACAUCCUCUGGCGUUCCACCUUCUACCACUCCAAUAUUAUCUUCCACUUCCUUGUCGCUGUUUGUUCCUGCAUCACUUUCAUAACCGUCAUCAACUGCCUUUCCCUCAUCAGCACAUCCUUCACCUCCACCACAUCAACUCACUCCACUUCAUCAUCAACUCAUCCACACGAGGAAUCAUGUGAGGAGUCAAGAGUGAGAGAGCUGAGGUGAAUCAACACUCGUUACUAGAAUCACUGUUCAUCUCAUUAAAUUGAGAGUGACUUGCCUUGUUGCCAUGGGUUUAUCUUUACCCCCACCAGCCCCACCCCAACCCAGCCUCCCCAGCCUUACCUCCCCUAGUCUCACCUCCCCAGCGCCAUCUUUCCAGCUUCCUGUUCCUAGUUUCGCCUCUCCAGCCUCACCUUCCCAGCUUUCCCUAGCCUCACCUUCUCAGUCUAACCUCCACAACCCUGUCUUUCUAGCCUCGCCUCCUCUUCCUUGCUUACCAUGCCACCUAUCCCCCAGCUUCUCCACUCCCCAGCUUUAGUAGUAACGACCCCCGCAGGCCACGUAAUUGCACGAGUCAUUACCUUGUGUGUGUGUGUGUGUAUGUGUGUGUGUGUCCACGAGGAGGCCAGGAAGCAGCAGCAGAAUUGGCCUUUAGGUAUUUUCAUUAACUUAUUUGGAUAACGUGAAUAUCAAGCAUAUCAGUUAUCCUUGAGGUGGGAUUAGGUUAGCGGAUGUUAGCUGGUUGUCUGUCUGUCUGUUUGUCUACCUGGUGAUUUGUCUUUGUGCCGACACAUCAAUGUAUUUUUUUUUUCUAUUUUCCUCAGUUUUGUUCUGUAUCUAUCUAUGUGUUUUUUUUUUCUCUGCAUCUAUGUAUCUAUCUAUCUAUCUAUCUGCAUCUGCUUGUCUAAUUUCAUCCAUUCAUUUAUAUAU